GAGAUUGUGGCUCAGUGGUAGAAUAUUUGCCUAGCAUGCAAGAUACCCUGGGUUCAAUACCCAGCAGAAACA
rnacentral:tRNA from 1 species